GGAUAUACCUGUUCCCAUGUCGAACACAGAAGUCAAGCUUCUUAACGCCGAGAGUAGUUGGGGGAUCGCCCCCUGCGAGGGUAGGACGUUGCCAUGC
rnacentral:rRNA from 1 species